rnacentral:lncRNA from 1 species
UAGAGACUAAGGGGUCGUUUGGUACGGCGGACUGUCAUGGACUGGACUAAAUCCUAGGACUGUCUUGGAUUAACUCGGAUUGGACUAAGCUGGAUUAAGUACUGACCUACGUUUGGUGCUGUGUCGGACUAAGAAGUUGGAUUGUAAAAAUAGUGAAGACCUAUGUUUGGUGUUGUGUCGGACUAAAAAAUAAUUUUUUAAUAAUUAAUUUUAAUUAAUAAAAUUCUAUUAUUUAAUUUUAAUUAAGGCUUUUUUGACAUAAAAAUAAAUAAAAAGAAAACAAAUAAAUUCUAACAUUUUUAACAGGCUUAAACUAUCUUAUCUCUUUUUUUUCUUUUUCUUUUUUCUUUUUCCCCUUUUCUUUCUUCCUUCCUCUUUUCCCCAUUGACUUUUCUUCUUCCUUCCUUCUUGGCCCGUUCCUUUCUUCUUUUUUUUCCUUCUUCCUCCUUUCUUCUUCCUUCCCAAGCCUCCCUUUUUUUUUUUGCGUUCUUCCUUUCCAGGCCGUUCCUUCUUCCUAUUCUUUCCUUUCUCUUUUCUUCUUACUUCCUUCCUUUUUAUUCUCUCUUCAUGCCUCACCCCAACUUUUAAGAGAGCCAGAUUCACUUCUAGGUUUGUGGUGGUUGCAAACACCCACCCUCCUCUCUCUCCGGUUCCACUAAUUAAUAGUUGUGAUGGUUCAAUUUGGUGGUGAUGGUUGUUGAACUGAGUAUGUGGUGGCUAAUUAUGGGUGGUUUUGAUGUUUUGUUUGACUAACUGGGUGGUGAUGAUGGUUUGAUUGGGUCUGUGUUGCUGGUUAUGGGUUUGAUGGUGGUGGUCUGAUGAUCGUGGACUCAUGGUGGUGGUGGUCAAGCUUGUGUGUUUGAUGGUGGUAUUUAGUCGGACUCGCAUGUUCAAAAUAGCACCAUCGCUAUUUUGAGAACCAUAUUUCGGGCUCGCUCUAUUAGCCAAGCGAGUCCCAUUUUUUUUUUCGCUUUGGACUAUACAAUCCCAUUUAAAUUAAUCCCCUCCCUUACCAAACAUAAGUUUCAAGGACUAUUUAACAUAGUCCAAUCCAAUGAGGCAUAGUGAGGCAUGCCAAACAUGCCCUAAUAGUGCAACA